rnacentral:tRNA from 1 species
GGGUCUGUAGCUCAGUCAGGUAGAGCGAUGGCCUCUUAAGCCAUUGGCCAAGGGUUCGAUUCCCUUCAGACCCG